rnacentral:rRNA from 1 species
CACGUAAGCCUCGAGCGUUGUUCGGAACUGUUGGGCGUAAAGGGCAUGUAGGCGGUUCUGCAAGUCUGGUGUGAAAUGCCGGGGCUCAACCCCGGAACUGCGUUGGAAACUGCAGGACUUGAAUCGCUGAGUGGCAGCCAGAAUUCCAGGUGUAGGGGUGAAGUCUGUAGAUAUCUGGAAGAAUACCAAUGGCGAAGGCAGGCUGCCAGCAGAUGAUUGACGCUGAGGUGCGAAGGUGCGGGGAGCAAAC